UACGAAGGGGGCUAGCGUUGCUCGGAAUUACUGGGCGUAAAGCGUGCGCAGGCGGUGAGCUGUGUCCGAUGUGAAAGCCCCGGGCUUAACCUGGGAAUGGCAUUGGAAACUGGCUCGCUGGAGUGUGGCAGAGGGGGGUGGAAUUCCGCGUGUAGCAGUGAAAUGCGUAGAGAUGCGGAGGAACACCGAUGGCGAAGGCAGCCCCCUGGGCUAACACUGACGCUCAGGCACGAAAGCGUGGGGAGCAAACAGG
rnacentral:rRNA from 1 species